CGUCGUCUUUUCCCCUCAAUAAAAGGGGCUCCAUUAGUUACCCAAUUCUUCACCCCUUAACACGUGAUUUUUUUUCCCACCUUCCAUCUUCUUCCCUGUUAUGCAAAUUUUUUAUUUUACUACAUCAUCAAGUUCUUCAUGACCGAGAGCAUCUAUUCACAAAAAGAAAAAAAGAAAGCUUGUACUUCUUCCUGUUAUUAACACACCCCAUAACUCAGCUUCAGCUGAAAUCCUUUCUCAUUCACAAUUUGGAGGAACCAAUUUAUUUUCAAGAGGUCCUACAAACGAGGAUAUUUAGGCUCUUGAUCAGCUGAGUUAUAUUGUUUGGAUUUUCUCCAAAUCAGAUUGAGCAGCUGGUGGUGACGUGCGAAGCUGAGGAAAGGUUGUUGCUGUAAUAUUGAAGAACACUCUGUUUUACUUCCGCUGAAAUAAAUUCACUUGGUGAAUAUAAUCUUAUGCCUAACUAUACUCUAAAUCGUUUUGAUCUGGAUUCCAUUUUCCAUCGUUUUCCCAAGUGAUUGUUAUUCUGCAUAUAUAUAUUAUAUGCCUAAUAUGAAAUGUUGUUUUGGGCUCAGACCUUCGAACUUUCGAUCCUGUUAGGGAGAACAAUUAUAUCAUAAUAUCAUGCUUAUUACCUUUGGAAUAUGA